rnacentral:lncRNA from 1 species
AUGUUCAUUAAUCGUUGAUUAUUCUCAACCAAUCACAAAGAUAUCGGAACCCUAUAUCUGCUAUUCGGAGCCUGAGCGGGAAUAGUAGGUACUGCACUAAGUAUUUUAAUUCGAGCAGAAUUAGGUCAACCAGGUGCACUUUUAGGAGAUGACCAAAUUUACAAUGUUAUCGUAACUGCCCAUGUUUUUGUUAUAAUUUUCUUCAUAGUAAUACCAAUAAUAAUCGGAGGCUUUGGAAACUGACUUGUCCCACUAAUAAUCGGAGCCCCAGAUAUAGCAUUCCCACGAAUAAAUAAUAUAAGUUUUUGACUCUUACCACCAUCAUUUCUCCUUCUCCUAGCAUCAUCAAUAGUAGAAGCAGGAGCAGGAACAGGAUGAACAGUCUACCCACCUCUAGCCGGAAAUCUAGCCCAUGCAGGAGCAUCAGUAGACCUAACAAUUUUCUCCCUUCAUUUAGCUGGGGUGUCGUCUAUUUUAGGUGCAAUUAAUUUUAUUACCACCAUUAUCAACAUGAAACCUCCAGCCAUAACACAAUAUCAAACUCCACUAUUUGUCUGAUCCGUACUUAUUACAGCCGUACUUCUCCUAUUAUCACUACCAGUACUAGCCGCAGGCAUUACUAUACUACUAACAGACCGCAACCUAAACACAACUUUCUUUGAUCCCGCUGGAGGAGGGGACCCAAUUCUCUACCAACACCUGUUCUGAUUCUUUGGACAUCCAGAAGUUUAUAUUCUUAUCCUCCCAGGAUUUGGAAUUAUUUCACAUGUAGUUACUUACUACUCCGGAAAAAAAGAACCUUUCGGCUAUAUAGGAAUAGUAUGAGCAAUAAUGUCCAUUGGCUUCCUAGGCUUUAUUGUAUGAGCCCACCACAUAUUCACAGUAGGAUUGGAUGUAGACACAUGAGCUUACUUUACAUCAGCCACUAUAAUUAUCGCAAUUCCUACCGGUGUCAAAGUAUUUAGCUGACUUGCAACCCUACACGGAGGAAAUAUUAAAUGAUCUCCAGCUAUACUAUGAGCUUUAGGCUUUAUUUUCUUAUUUACAGUUGGUGGCCUAACCGGAAUUGUUCUAUCCAACUCAUCCCUUGACAUCGUGCUUCACGAUACAUACUAUGUAGUAGCCCAUUUCCAUUAUGUUCUAUCAAUGGGAGCAGUGUUUGCUAUCAUAGCAGGAUUCAUUCACUGAUUCCCAUUAUUUUCAGGCUUUACCCUAGAUGACACAUGAGCAAAAGCCCACUUCGCCAUCAUGUUCGUAGGGGUAAACAUAACAUUCUUCCCUCAACAUUUCCUAGGCCUUUCAGGAAUACCACGACGCUACUCAGACUACCCAGCUGCUUACACUACAUGAAACACUGUCUCUUCUAUAGGAUCAUUUAUUUCACUAACAGCUGUUCUCAUCAUGAUCUUUAUAAUUUGAGAGGCCUUUGCUUCAAAACGAGAAGUAAUAUCAGUAUCAUAUGCCUCAACAAAUUUAGAAUGACUUCAUGGCUGCCCUCCACCAUACCACACAUUCGAGGAACCAACCUAUGUAAAAGUAAAAUAA